UAGGGAAUCUUCGGCAAUGGACGAAAGUCUGACCGAGCAACGCCGCGUGAGUGAAGAAGGUUUUCGGAUCGUAAAACUCUGUUGUUAGAGAAGAACAAGGACGUUAGUAACUGAACGUCCCCUGACGGUAUCUAACCAGAAAGCCACGGCUAACUACGUGCUAGCAGCCGCGGUAAUACGUAGGUGGCAAGCGUUGUCCGGAUUUAUUGGACGUAAAGCGAGCGCAGGCGGUUUCUUAAGUCUGAUGUGAAAGCCCCCGGCUCAACCGGGGAGGGUCAUUUGAAACUGGGAGACUUGAGUGCAGAAGAGGAGAGUGGAAUUCCAUGUGUAGCGGUGAAAUGCGUAGAUAUAUGGAGGAACACCAGUGGCGAAGGCGGCUCUCUGGUCUAUAACUGACGCUGAGGCUCGAAAGCGUGGGGAGCAAACAGG
rnacentral:rRNA from 1 species